UCGUGCUAGGCGGGGAACCAGCGGUGCCCUAAGCCCGCCGUAGCCUUAGCGAAGGCGGGUGAACCCGCAAUCCGCUAUAGCGGGGCUGAAUUCCCGUGCUGAGACCAGGCCUGGUAGGUCUGGAGGGCGCUGGUGGUGUCGAGGACCGGGCCCUGCGCAGCCGUUCCCUGUGAACCCCGUCAGGUCCGGAAGGAAGCAGCGGUAAGCAGUCAGUUCGGUGUGCCGCAGUUUAGUCGGGUCUGAGCCAUUUGUGUCAAUACCGUUGUCAGGUGCUGGCCGAAGCCGGGUGCACGA
rnacentral:SRP_RNA from 1 species